CAGAGGCCCAAAGGCAGGAUAAAUCUGGGCCUAUUUUAGAGGCCAAUAGCGUGGUGGUUCAGAAAGGGGUUCCAACAGUUCUCCCUACUCGCCGUUGAGGAUUUGCGUCAGGUAACCACCCUGCGCCCGGGGCGGUGGAGGUGAUGGGCUGAGACCGUGUUGGCGCAGUGCUGGGUACACGGCUGCCCCUGCAGAGGAGGACCGUGGGUGCCCAGACUGAGUAGGUAAGUUUAGCUCUAAGAGAACAGGUUGAGAGAGCCCAUCGGUUGUGUACAGGCAACUUCUCAGCCAAGCUCUGCCAGUUGCUGGUGUUCAUACUUGGCUGAUGUCUCCACUUCAAUACAGAGCCUGCAGGGGAUGCAGGCUGUGAAUGCAGUCCCUGGAACCAGACUGUGGGCUCAGCCAUGAGACCUGGGGGAUGUACUUCACCUUCCUGACUUGGGCUUUUCAACUUGGAAUUGGAGGCCAGAAGUCCACCCUGAAGCGUGGCUGUGGGGUGGAAACAGGCCCUCCAGCAGGGCAACAGCAGGGGCUCCUUGCCUGGCAGCCCCUCCGGUUCUUCAGCCCUUAGCCUCCCCUCUCUGGCUGUGGUCAGUGGCUGGCUCACCAGCCCCUCUUAUGGCAGUCACUGCUCCAGAGUGCCAGGAUUUCCCAGUAUGGUGGCCAGGGCUGUCCGGAGCCCAGCACGCAGCUCAGGAAGCAGCUCAAUGCAGGUGGGACGUCAGUGGGAGCAGAGGGCAGCCUCCCUCCCCAGACCCCUGAGGAUGAGUCUGUCUCCCUCCUUGGUGCUAACUUCUCUCUCCUUCUUACAUCUCCACUUCUUUCUUCUUCCUUUAUCUUCUCUACCUCCUUCUCUCUUCUACCUUUUCCCUUCUUUUCCGCUUUUUCCUUUUUUCAUCUUCAUUCUUCUCUUUUCUUUCGUCUUUCUCUUCCCCUUUCCUCCUCUCUUUGUCUAGUCCUUCUUCCCCCUCACCUCUCCUUUUCCUCCUCUUCCGUUUCAUAAUGAUUAAGAGUAUGGCUUCUGAUGUCAGCCUCCCUGGGUUCGAAUCCCUGCUGUGCCACACACUGGCUGCGUGGCGUUGGGCAAGCCACUUAAUUUCUCUGUGCUUUGGCUUCCUGAGCUGUACAGUGGGAUGCUAACAGUGUCUCUCUUGAAGGGUGCCAUGGGUGCCAGGUGAGCGUUAGCUGCUUAUCAUUCGUGUUCCUUCCUCCCCUCCUCUUCUUCUCCUCCUGGUCUUAGAAGUCUGUCUCCCUCCCUCUCUCCAAGCCCUGUGACUCGCCUCUUACGUCUCUCUGCCCAGCAUCUUGGGCCUGUCUCUGGCCCCUGCCCUGCUGCUUCAUCCUCUCACUGCACGCACAGGAAGGAGAGCCCAGGCCUGGGGCCAGGUUGCCCCAUGAACAGUUGCUGAGCCAGGUGGCUGGAGCUCUUCCCUGGGGCCCCGCCCACGAUGAGUUCAGGAGCUGCCUUUGUGCACCCGUGACAGCCUCUCCUGGCGCCUCAUUUGGCAGAGCUGUGCAUCUGGCCCAGUUACUGUGGUAGCCUUGGAAGGCAGAGUGCUCUGGGGCUUCCUUGUCAUCUACCUGCGUGACCCUGCAUGAAGGGUAUGCCCAGCCCUCAGCUGGACUGCCAGCCCCACAGGCACCCUUGGUGCCCACCACACAGCAGGAGCUCAUCCACAGAUGGGCACAAAUAGUGAUACCAGACAGUGCCUCUGAGUCCUUGCUGUGCUAGGCACUGUUCUAAGUGCAAAUUCCGUUCAUCUUCACAGCAACCCUUGCAGUGGGGGCUGUUAACCCCAUUUUAGAGAUGAGCAAACUGAAACACAGAAAAGCAUAGGAAAUUGCCCAAAGUUGAAUGAAUGAAUGAAUGAAUACAAUGACAACUUAGGAAGGAAGGCAUUUUACUGAAGAGUGACAGGCCCACGGUCACACAGAUAGUAAGUGGAAAAAAAUCAGGGCUGGAACUCAUGACUCCAACAUCACCUCCCACCUGUCCAUAAGCCCAGUGACAGCAAGGCUGGCACUCCCUCACACUUGGGGUUGAGGCCAGUAAGAGCUGCAUUUGUGGAACACUGGCCAAAGCAAACCCUCUGUGCUGAGGGCACUUCAGCCAGUGUCUCAAGCCUGUCUGCACUUCUUCUUUUUUUUUUUUUUGAGACAGACUCUCACUCUGUUGCCCAGGCUGGAGUGCAGUGGCGCAAUCUCGGCUCACUGAAACCUCUGCCUCCCCGGUUCAAGCCAUUCUCCUGCCUCAGCCUCCU
rnacentral:lncRNA from 1 species